rnacentral:lncRNA from 10 species
GUGGCUUUUAAACCACUGUGGCUGUACAGAGAGUUUAUUAAGGCUGUGGCUGUCGGCAAAUCACAUUUCCCUCUGCAGAACACAGAAGAUGAAAAAUGGAUCAAAGGUUACAAGUGGUCCAUGAGCCACUUGCAUCCCAGAGAUCUAUUUCGCCUUUGAUAUAUUUUUAAAAUUUUUUGAUUGAGACAAUUUUAGAUUGGGUUUGUCCCAGAACCCAGCAUUCCCUGAUGUCUCAUAUGUGGCUGCUUCUCACAUUUAUGACAACUGAAUGAUAUCUGGUUUUAAUCCGGGAUUGUAAACAUCAGUUCUGGAUUCUGAUGCAAUGACAAAAAGCUGAAAGUGGAACCGUAAAAGGGUGGGACUCUUGUCAGGUGAUGAAGCUGAGGUCCAGAGAGA